UGAAAUGAAAAUUAUUUUCAACAGAAAGAACUGAUUAUGGAUUAUUUAGUUAUUAUUAUAGAUCAUUAUACUUAUUAAUGAAACAGCAGAAAAUUAUAUAGAAAAUUUAACAAAAUACACGUAUUAAGCAGCAUUUUGUUAUUUAUAGGUAUAUCAUCAUAUGUGUAUAUAAAGUAUCAGCACACAGGAAUAAAUUGAGCCCUAAUCUGUUUAGUGAUUGUCUUCAAAGGCUCCAUCCAAAAGUUCCAAGACAUAACCCAUGAAGGAAAAGUAUAAUGUGGAGCCCAUGCUGGUUGGUGACGAGAUUCAAGAGGUCCUGAAGCCAUGAAGACUUGCCAAGACAGCCAGACCCAGUAAUACCUUGGUAUCAUGUUAAACACAAGAAAAGAUGAAUAAAAUAUUAAAAAUGAUAUAAAGUAACUGUAAGUUUCAUUUUCCAGCCACAGUGAGAGUGAGAAAGUCAUCCAA
rnacentral:lncRNA from 1 species